rnacentral:rRNA from 1 species
UACAGAGACUGCAAGCGUUAUUCGGAUUCACUGGGCGUAAAGGGUGCGCAGGCGGCCAGGUGUGUUAGGCGUGAAAGCCCGGGGCUUAACCCCGGAAUUGCACCUAAAACUACUUGGCUAGAGCAUUGGAGAGGGUAGCGGAAUUCACGGUGUAGCAGUGAAAUGCGUAGAUAUCGUGAGGAACACCAGAGGCGAAGGCGGCUACCUGGGCAAUUGCUGACGCUCAGGCACGAAAGCGUGGGUCGCGAAUGGG